rnacentral:rRNA from 1 species
UACGUAGGGGGCUAGCGUUAUCCGGAAUUACUGGGCGUAAAGGGCGCGUAGGCGGUUUGGCAAGUCAGAUGUGAAAGCCCCGGGCUUAACCCGGGAAUUGCAUCUGAAACUGCUUAACUUGAGUUCUGGAUGGGGUAGUGGAAUUCCCAGUGUAGCGGUGAAAUGCGUAGAUAUUGGGAGGAACACCAGCGGCGAAGGCGGCUACCUGGACAGUGACUGACGCUGAGGCGCGAAAGCUAGGGGAGCGAACGGG